UUGAAAUCGGCGCCGGCGGGCGGACCCCGCGCCUGCCGCUGCCCGGCCCGAGCGCCGCGGCCCCUCAGAACCUAAGCUCCAGCUAGCAGGACCCUUGUCCCUCUUGCUCACUGCCGCACCCUCUGCAGGUAGACAUUGCCUGGCACAUGAUAGGUGCUGAUGUUUGCUCCAGAGGAGUCGGAAGCACGAGGCGCCCUGUGAGAAGGUUUUGCUUUCAGCAAGACCCUGAUAAUCCCCCAGAUCUCCCUGAGAAGUGCCAGCACCAGCCCAGACUGGGCAGCUGCAGCCGGG